rnacentral:tRNA from 1 species
GGGGCUGCGGCUCAGGGGUGGAGCACCUGCCUCACAUGUGGGAGGGACUGGGUUCAAUCCUCAGCACCACA